rnacentral:sRNA from 1 species
GGAAUCUACAAUGGAAGGACACAAGAAAGAUCAGCUGGAUUAAGUAGUCAUGAUUAUGCAAAGCCAUAUCCAGAGACCAAGGUGUAAAGCAGGUCGGAGAAAAUGGAAAUCUUAAGAUUGGCUCAGUCAAAAAGAAACAUUAUCAGUUUGAACAUGGACCUUGAAAGGGAUGUGCAGAGAAUAGAUGAAGCAAAUCAGAAACUUCUUCUCAAAAUCCAAGAGAGAGAAGAUAAGAUUCAGAGGCUGGAAAGUGAAACCAUUCAGAUGGGGGACCUGGUGGAAGAUGAAGAGUGGGAGAAGGAGAACCACACCACGAUGGAAAGGGAAAGAGCUUUGCAGGAGCUGGAGGAAGAAACAGCCAGACUUGAAAGGAAGAAUAAGACGUUGGUCCACAGUAUAACAGAACUUCAACAAAAGCUUACAAGGAAAUCACAAAAGAUAACCAAUUGUGAACAAAGCAGUCCAGAUGGAGCCCUACAAGAGACAAAGGCUAAGUUACAACAGCUGGAAGCUUCCUAUGCACGCCAAGAGAAGGAGCUGCUCAAGGUAAUGAAGGAAUAUGCAUUUGUGACCCAGCUCUGUGAAGAUCAAGCCCUCUACAUAAAGAAGUACCAGGAAACGUUGAAGAAAAUAGAAGAAGAACUAGAGGCUCGGUUCCUUGAGAGAGAAGUGUGAGCUUUGGCAAAGGAACAUGCUGGUUUUGGUAGAAACUCCAUCUCAGCCUGAAUCAGAGCAAACAGUUCUCAGACCAAUUUCUAUUUGGAAUUCAAUGAGUCCCAACACCACAUUUCUUUGCUCUCUGU